rnacentral:rRNA from 1 species
AGUGAACGCUGGCGGUAGGCCUAACACAUGCAAGUCGAACGGCAGCACAGUAAGAGCUUGCUCUUACGGGUGGCGAGUGGCGGACGGGUGAGGAAUACAUCGGAAUCUACUUUUUCGUGGGGGAUAACGUAGGGAAACUUACGCUAAUACCGCAUACGACCUACGGGUGAAAGCAGGGGAUCUUCGGACCUUGCGCGAUUGAAUGAGCCGAUGUCGGAUUAGCUAGUUGGCGGGGUAAAGGCCCACCAAGGCGACGAUCCGUAGCUGGUCCGAGAGGAUGAUCAGCCACACUGGAACUGAGACACGGUCCAGACUCCUACGGGAGGCAGCAGUGGGGAAUAUUGGACAAUGGGCGCAAGCCUGAUCCAGCCAUACCGCGUGGGUGAAGAAGGCCUUCGGGUUGUAAAGCCCUUUUGUUGGGAAAGAAAAGCAGCAGGUUAAUACCCCGCCGUUCUGACGGUACCCAAAGAAUAAGCACCGGCUAACUUCGUG